UGAAUACGAGAUGCUACGGCGUCGAAGCAGUCUAUGUCAUACUUCCAAGAAAAGCUUGCACUGUCAUAAACAAAUAAUGCCUGUACCAUAACCGACACAGGUGGGUAGGUAGAGUAUACUAAGGGGCGCGAGAUAACUCUCUCUAAGGAACUCGGCAAAAUGACUCCGUAACUUCGGGAGAAGGAGUGCCUUAUUUAUAAGGUUGCAAUAACAAGAUCCAAGCAACUGUUUACCAAAAACACAGGUCUCCGCUAAGUCGUAAGACGAUGUAUGGGGGCUGACGCCUGCCCAGUGCCAGAAGGUUAAGGAAGUUGGUUAGCAUCCGCGAAGCUGAUAACUGAAGCCCUGGUGAACGGCGGCCGUAACCAUAACGGUCCUAAGGUAGCGAAAUUCCUUGUCGGGUAAGUUCCGACCCGCACGAAAGGCGUAAUGAUUUGGAUACUGUCUCGGAGAGGGGCUCGGUGAAAUAGACUUGUCUGUGAAGAUGCGGACUACCUGCACCAGGACAGAAAGACCCUAUGAAGCUUUACUGUAACCUGAAAUUGAAAUUGGACUUUACUUGCGCAGUAUAGGUGGGAGGCGUUGAGAAUAUUCUUGCGGGAUUAUUGGAGCCAUCAGUGAGAUACCACUCUUGUAAUGUUAGAUUUCUAACUUUGUAUCAUUAUCUGGUCAAAGAACAGUUUCAGGCGGGCAGUUUGACUGGGGCGGUCGCCUCCUAAACGGUAACGGAGGCGCACAAAGGUUUCCUCUGAACGGGUAGAAAUCGUAUCUAGAGUGUAAAGGCAUAAGGAAGCUUGACUGUGAGACCUACAAGUCGAGCAGGGACGAAAGUCGGUCUUAGUGAUCUGACGGUGCUGAGUGGAAAGGCCGUCACUCAACGGAUAAAAGUUACUCUAAGGAUAACAGGCUGAUCUCCCCCAAGAGUUCACAUCGACGGGGAGGUUUGGCACCUCGAUGUCGGCUCAUCGCAUCCUGGGGCGGUAGUACGUCCCAAGGGUUGGGCUGUUCGCCCAUGAAAGCGGUACGCGAGCUGGGUUCAGAACGUCGUGAGACAGUUCGGUCCAUAUCCGGUGUAGGCGUUAGAAUAUUGAGGGGAGCCUUCUUUAGUACGAGAGGACCGAGAAGGACAUACCUCUGGUGUACCAGUUAUCGUGCCAACGGUAAACGCUGGGUAGCUAUGUGUGGAGUGGAUAACCGCUGAAAGCAUCUAAGUGGGAAGCCCACCUCAAGAUAAGUAUUCUC
rnacentral:rRNA from 1 species